ensembl:lncRNA
GUUUCUGAAUGCCCUUGAGUGGCCCAGCCAGAGCCCGGAUUUGAACCCAAACGGACGUCUCUGGAGAGACCUGAGAAAGCGCUGUGCAGCGACACUCCCCAUCCAACCUGACAGAGCUUGAGAGGAUCUGCAGAGAAGAACGGGAGAAACUCCCCAAAUACAGAAGACAUGCUGUUGCUCGUAGGGAACGUUUCAGGACUGGUGGCCAGUAAGACCGGAGACAUAUGAGCUGGGGGACCAGGAUCAUUGAUAGCCACCUACCCCUGGAAGAGGUAGAUGAGCACCAUAGCUUGGAGAGGAGAAGACAGGAUGAAGGUGAGCCCGCUACAGGAUGAAGCUGAGCCCGCUACAGGAUGAAGGUGAGCCCGCUACAGGAUGAAGGUGAGCCCGCUACAGGAUGAAGCUGAGCCCGCUACAGGAUGAAGGCCAACCAGGAGGGAAAAUUGUGUCUCUAACUCGGCCCAGAUGACAAAGACAAGGCUGAGCAUGCAUCAGAAACUGGCCAUGGAGUGCAAACGAAUGUAUUUAAAGGAAGUGUAUGUUGAGCUGGCUAUGAAGACGGAGGGGGACAUGAAGAACCAGCAGUACCAUUGGUCGAUGGAGGAGGGGGACAUGAAGAACCAGCAGUACCAAUGGUCGAAGGAGGA